rnacentral:lncRNA from 1 species
CUGCGAAAUCGAUUAUAUCGUAGAUCUUUCUCUGGUUCAUAUUUGAAGUGUUUAAGCCCAGAAGAAGCAAAGCAAGUCUUAAUGGAGUUACAUGAAGGUGAAUGUGGAUCUCAUUCAGGAGGGAGAAAAUUAGUGCUACGAGCAAAAAGAGCUGGAUACUACUGGUCAACCAUGAACAAUGACGCGAUGAACUUUGUUCGUCACUGCAACAAAUGUCAACGGCUUGCUACAAUCUCCAAAUUGCCACCGGAGAACCUGAAAACCAUCAGCUCGCCAUGACCGUUUAUGAAGUGGGGCAUGGAUAUAGUGGGAAAAUUACCUAGAGCCCCUGCACAAAAAGUAUUUCUGUUGGUAGUAACAGACUACUUUUCAAAAUAGGUAGAAGCAGAAGCCCACAGUCAGGUCACAGACAAAGAGGUUCGAAACUUCAUAUGGAAAAAUGUUGUAUGCAAAUUCGGUGUUCCGCACGAGAUUAUCACAGACAAUGACACCCAGUUUACAAGCAAGAAGUUCAAAGAAUUUUACAACACUUUUAAGCUUCGCGACGCCGAGACACCCACAGUCCAACGGAUAGGCCCAGUCAUCACAAGAUUUAAACCCUCCAUGUACUACUUGAAAGCAGAGUAUCAAACAAGCAAAGCUCUGUGUUCCUUUUUAACAAGAGAGGUGGUGAGCGAACUCACCUAGUUGUAAAGAGGCUCAAUUUGUAUGGUGGCCCGCCGUCUACUAUCAAACGCUGAAAGCUGUGAAGCCUGCAUCAAAAGGAAGCAGCAGCAGACAGAAUCAGCUAGGAGAAAUUGAAGACCAUCCCCAUUUGCGUUUAAAAAAAACGAGCUGGAAGCUUAGGCAAAAUAAAAAAAUAAUAAAUAAAUGAUAGUUAUAUGGAAAAAGACAGCAGCAAAUAGCAGGUGGCGUCACAAGUAAAAGGGAGGAAGAAAGGAAUAUAGUAGACUACAAAAUGUGAGAAAGGAAAUGGAGGAGAAGAAACUCACGGUGAAUACUCUUUGGGAAGGGGAAACAAUGGCUGCAUCUAGGUCAUUUGAGGGAGAAGAGUCUUUUAAAAAUAAAAAAAAAAGACCCAGCAGACAUGUUUUCACGAUGGGCCAAAAGUAUAAUGAGGCCCAAUUUAUGGUUUUAAUCUCUUUUUAAAGAAAUUAAAUCAGCCAAGCCCGCUAAUAUUUAUUGAG